UCAUGAUAAGAAUUUCAUGUCUUUUGUAUUAAAGAAUUAAAUGGAUGAAAUAUGAAGUUUUAUUAAAAGAAAAAGGGGUGAAAAGAACAAAGUUUUGUCCAUCUUUGUUCAUCAUAGCUGAAAGUUAGAGAAGAGAAAGGAGAGGAGAAAGCUCUUGAGUAUUCGGUCAUUAGGAGGAGGAAAAUUGAAGGCGGUUCAUGUGUGGAUCUCGUCAACAUAUCGUCGCAAACAGGUGAGUCUUGAUGUGGGUGACUUGGAGCCGGAGGGGAUUCAGAGUGGCCAUUGUGAACACUUUUGGGUUUGAAAAAGAGACUGGUUUUCUUAAGUUAUUUUUAAUUACUAUUUAAGUUUUGGGUUGUAAUAAGGCCAUUUUAACUUUAUUUUCUUCUUUGAUUUUCUGAGAUUAUAUUAUUUUAAACAACUUUAAAUUGAUGGAUAAUAAUAA